rnacentral:rRNA from 1 species
ACAGAGGUCCCAAGCGGUGUUCGGAUUCACUGGGCGUAAAGGGUGCGUAGGCGGUCGGGUAAGUCUGACGUGAAAUCUUCAAGCUCAACUUGGAAACUGCGUCGGAUACUAUUCGGCUAGAGGAAUGGAGGGGAGACUGGAAUACUUGGUGUAGCAGUGAAAUGCGUAGAUAUCAAGUGGAACACCAGUGGCGAAGGCGAGUCUCUGGACAUUUCCUGACGCUGAGGCACGAAAGCCAGGGGAGCAAACGGG